rnacentral:rRNA from 1 species
ACGCUGGCGGCAGGCCUAACACAUGCAAGUCGAGCGGAAACGACACUAACAAUCCUUCGGGUGCGUUAAUGGGCGUCGAGCGGCGGACGGGUGAGUAAUGCCUAGGAAAUUGCCUUGAUGUGGGGGAUAACCAUUGGAAACGAUGGCUAAUACCGCAUAAUGCCUACGGGCCAAAGAGGGGGACCUUCGGGCCUCUCGCGUCAAGAUAUGCCUAGGUGGGAUUAGCUAGUUGGUGAGGUAAUGGCUCACCAAGGCGACGAUCCCUAGCUGGUCUGAGAGGAUGAUCAGCCACACUGGAACUGAGACACGGUCCAGACUCCUACGGGAGGCAGCAGUGGGGAAUAUUGCACAAUGGGCGAAAGCCUGAUGCAGCCAUGCCGCGUGUAUGAAGAAGGCCUUCGGGUUGUAAAGUACUUUCAGUUGUGAGGAAGGGGGURKWGUUAAUAGCKSYRUCUCUUGACGUUAGCAACAGAAGAAGCACCGGCUAACUCCGUGCCAGCAGCCGCGGUAAUACGGAGGGUGCGAGCGUUAAUCGGAAUUACUGGGCGUAAAGCGCAUGCAGGUGGUUCAUUAAGUCAGAUGUGAAAGCCCGGGGCUCAACCUCGGAACUGCAUUUGAAACUGGUGAACUAGAGUACUGUAGAGGGGGGUAGAAUUUCAGGUGUAGCGGUGAAAUGCGUAGAGAUCUGAAGGAAUACCAGUGGCGAAGGCGGCCCCCUGGACA